rnacentral:rRNA from 1 species
AAUUGACGGGGGCCCGCACAAGCGGUGGAGCAUGUGGUUUAAUUCGAUGAUACGCGAGGAACCUUACCUGGGCUCGAACGUAAGAUGACUGUAGGUGAAAGCUUACAUCUCUUCGGAGCAUUUUACGAGGUGCUGCAUGGUUGUCGUCAGCUCGUGCCGUGAGGUGUCGGGUUAAGUCCCAUAACGAGCGCAACCCUACCUUUAGUUGCCAUCAGGUAAUGCUGGGGACUCUAAAGGAACUGCCUACGCAAGUAGUGAGGAAGGCGGGGAUGACGUCAAAUCAGCACGGCCCUUACGUCCAGGGCUACACACGUGCUACAAUGGCCGAUACAGAGGGCAGCUACCUGGUGACAGGAUGCAAAUCUCCAAAGUCGGUCUCAGCUCGGAUCGGAGUCUGCAACCCGACUCCGUGAAGUUGGAUUCGCUAGUAAUCGCGCAUCAGCCAUGGCGCGGUGAAUACGUUCCCGGGCCUU